GCAGCUGAUCAAUGAUCCUUUCUCAUCACUAUUGUUUCUAUCCCUCUCUCCCUCUCCAUUCUUCUCUGAAAUCAAUAAAAAAAAAAUAUUUUAUAAAAGAGAUGUUCAUAUAUAUCGCUAAAUUAAUCUUUUUAGCUAUAGCCCAUUAUUUUGAUUUGUUGAGAUCAUUUUGGACCUGAUGCUAGGCAUCUCUCAGCUUUGUUUAAUCGACAAGCACAGAGCCUUGUUCUCAUCUAAAGCUGUAAUAAAAACAUUCAUCAUCUUUCCUUUCCAUUGCUUUCUUUCUCCAGCUUUCCCAUGAACUGUUGCAGGAACUUGAUAUCCAUGAUCACCCCCUGAAAUAAGCCUUCCACGCUGCCUGGGGGUGCCUGUUAAAAAACCGUGAGGGAUUCGUGUACUCUCGUCUUUGCCAUCUAGUCCCUUGACCAUCACUUCAGAUCCCUUUUCCACACCUGGACAACAUAAUUAUGUAACCGGUUUUUCUUUCUCAAGUCUCACUCCUUCCUCCUCCAGCCCAUCCUCUCCAGCUGCCAGAAUGGCCUGCUUGGGCCACACUUUCAUUCAUCAGCACCCCUGAGUGUCUCCCCCUGCUUUGUUUAGUGGGGGAACGUUAUAUAAUUUGGCUGCACCUCCCCUCUCAUGCCAUCCCCAAAGCACCUCAUUCUGCAUCCUUAGCAUGAUUUUGCAACUCCUAAAGCAAGAGAGAGCCACCAUUUCUUAAUUUUUUUUUUUUAAUCUUUCUAAUAGGAUGGCUCAAAAAUAAAACAACAUGGGACUGCUUACAGACUAAUGAUGAAUUAGAUCACUUUUAGAAACACAGUCCUGGGAUAUCUGUCUGAUGAUUCUGUUGAACGCAGCAAUUGAUUUCUUUACCUCAUUUUGAAUCUGUAGAAUUGGAUUUCUAACCUAAUAAGGAUGUUACUAUUAGAGGAGAGGACUGAUGGGGCACAUUUUGACUUUUGUCAAGUUCAAGAGUUCAUGUAAUGUACACGAAUAAACUAUUUUCAGUGAGAAUAAUGAACAGGAGGGCCUGCAGGCAUUUUAAUGUCUGUUCCUGGGUUAAACUUUAAUGUGGCACUUUAUCAUAUAUGCAACCUAGCUAACGUUUAGGAAAGGGUUUUAAAGGAAGCUUAGUACCCACACCUGACGUUGAGAUAAAUGAACCCUUGGGGUUAAUUAACAUUUGGUGGUGGUGGAGCAGACAUGGGAAAGUGGGUUCUGCCGCACUGCAUUGUUCACCAUGCAGCAAGGAUGUACAGAAAUGGAACAAAAGGCAGGGCAGGGACUAGCACCUCCCCAUAGAUGGCAUGUCACUACUACAGUAGUAUUUACUGUUUUCCUUCUGUGCCUGUUAAUGCAAGAUAGUAAAAUGAAGAUCAAAGCCAACCUGCCUUUUUCUCUUCCUUUCAAAGGGCCAGUCUUUCCUGGGGCAGGAUUUCUUUGUCCAGCAGCCUGCUGGCAGCUCUGCCUAUGCUCUGAGAUGGCACAGAAGCCAUCGGGAAGUUGCACCGUUCUAGGAAACCCUUUAACUUCGAGAAUGGGGACGACAGACACCCAGCGGGGACCCUUUUGUUCCCCAGGGAUUGUUUGGUUCCACGUUAACCUGCACUGGCUUUGUCGUUUUCAAACCCUAACAGGUGACUGGUCACAGCUGUGACUGGGACUCUGCCAGUCGGAGCUGGAGUGGAAUUUACAAGGCUGCAGGAUGCAAGCACCGUGGCUUCAGAGAGUAUGGGCCUGGGUUUAACCCUGACACAGGGCCUUAACUGCGGCUUUCACCUCUGUAAGCCUCGGUUUCAUGAUCUGCAGGGCCACCUUAACUGACAAAGAUGGCAUCUCCAAUGCGUCUAGCAUAGCGUCUGACAUGAAGUUGAACACAUUCAUUCCCAGAUGAUGGGCAUUCCUUUAUUUGACCCCACACUACUUCAUUGAUUUUAUGAU